CAGCAGCCGCGGGAAUACCGAGGAUGCAAGCGUUAUCCGGAAUGAUUGGGCGUAAAGCGUCUGUAGGUGGCUUUUCAAGUCCGCCGUCAAAUCCCAGGGCUCAACCCUGGACAGGCGGUGGAAACUACCAAGCUGGAGUACGGUAGGGGCAGAGGGAAUUUCCGGUGGAGCGGUGAAAUGCGUAGAUAUAUGGAGGAACACCAGUGGCGAAGGCGACUCUCUGGUCUGUAACUGACGCUGAGGCUCGAAAGCGUGGGUAGCAAACAGGAUUAGAUACCCCAGUAGUCCCUGUCUCUUAUAC
rnacentral:rRNA from 1 species